AUGUGGGGCCGCCGGGCCCGCGUGCAGGAGCAAUAGCCGGCGGCCUCCAACAGCCAGGCGAGAGGUUAGGCAUGGGGACAUGCAGAUUAGCUAGAAUCAAGGGAGGUUUGUUCCCUGGUGAUCAGGCCUGCGCGCCUAUUUAGUGGAUGUAAUCGACACUCUUGGAUCUUAAGCAAUGAACACUUAUCCCUAACCUCCCUCUCUUCUCUUAAUCUCAUCCCCUUCACCAUUGAGCAGUUAGGCAAAAACCCUAAGGCUCCUAUCCGCCGCGACUACGAACUACGUAGUCGAGGUCCCGCUGUCUUGGGCGUCGACGCCCUUGACAUGUUAUUGGAUGCUACUGCUGUUUUAAACCUGAACCAUGCAUCAACCAUUCAAGAAUGAUACCUAUCAAGGGUAGAAGCACAGUCCUACUACUAAAAGCAAUUCUAUUUGAUAGAUUAAAUACGCAAUGCAGUUUUUGUAGUAUGACUUGUGCUAUAUAAUUGCAAAAAUUAGUUGAGUUAGCAGUUACCUAGCAUUUGAAUAUAUGGUUUUUGUAGGCAUGCUUAGUUGAAGAAUUAAUUUCAUAUUGCACUUAGGAGAAAGGAUGUUAUGUUUGCUUAUCUAUGUUUAGCUCUUGGGUGGUUGAUGCAGGUGCCCCCUAUGAAUCAACUGUUAUUUUACUACCUGACAGCUGUCAAGAAAGCUAUUUCUUGUGUUGUACCUUUCAUUAAAUCUGUGAGAAUUCAAAAUGUUACAUCUUGUGUUUCAUAUAUUGAUAAAUGCCAUAAAUUCUGAUGACCACAAAUGAAUUCUAGAUACUGGUGGUUUCUAUAUCAGGGCAUGAUUCUUCUAUCCCGCCGUUAUCUUCACAAAGCGGUGUGUCUCGAUACUCUUCAUAUGGUGGAUAUCAGGAUACAAGCAAAAAGAUUGAAAUACCAAAUGGAAGGGUUGGUGUUAUUAUUGGAAAAAUUGGGGAAACUAUCAGGUAUCUCCAACUUCAAUCAGGAGCAAAGAUUCAAGUAACAAGAGACAACAAAGCUGAACCAGGUGCACAGACAAGACCAGUUGAGCUUUCAGGCACUCCUGAGCAGGCAAGCAAAGCUGGGCAGCUGAUCAAAGAAGUUCUGGCAGAGGCUGAUGCUGGGUCAUCUGGUAUUGGAUCAGGUGGCCGGAAAUAUAAUGCACCACAGCCAGGUGCCGACACAUUCCAGAUGAAAAUUGCUGAUAACAAGGCGGGUCUGGUUAUUGGUAAGAGUGGUGAGACUAUAAAGUCCAUGCAAGCCAAAUCUGGAGCUCGCAUUCAGGUUAUUCCUUUGCAUCUGCCCGUUGGUGAUACUUCAACUGAAAGAACUGUGCAUAUUGAUGGCACACAGGAACAAAUUGAAAUUGCAAAGCAGCUGGUGAUUGAGGUUACCAGUCCGUUUUCUUUCUCGUGAUAUCCAUGAUUGCUUUGUCAUAUUUGGUUAUCUGCCUUACUUUAGUCUUGCUUCUGGUUCAUUUUUUUAGUGUUGGUUUUAUGAUUUCCCCUGGGGUUCUUUUGAAAAUAUUGUUCUGUUUGCUUCUUUUUUGCUCUACAUUGAUUACACUGCUGUGCUAACCCAUGUCUGAAGCAUAUUGGCCAUGGGUACAGCCUCGGCAUGGCUAUGGCAUGGAAGGAGAUUUUCAUAUGCCUUUCCUGUUUCUGAACAUAACUUAAUAUCAAUAUGUACUGCUGAAUAGAGCAUGGCAUUUUGACUGAACAUGGUUAUGAAUUAUAUGAGCUGACAUGCUGUAUCGGGUAUUUGUACCGUUUAAAAUUUGUCAUAUGCUCCUGUACCUCUGGAUACAAUGGAUACAUUGCUUUACUCAGGGCUUGUUUGGAAGGAAGAAUUGCUUUAGACAGGCCAGGUCCUCAGGUGUUCAGUUUGUAAUAGCGGGCUUGCACUCCAGUUUAGAUCCUUUAUACUAGCCAAAUACAUAAAGUGUGUAGGGCAUCUUGACGCUUAUUCUGAAAUGAUAUAUUGUCCUCGGUAUGGCAGGUUUAGUCGCAUUACAUCUGUAUCGUUGGAACCAAACCUGUUAUACUAAGAUCAACAUCAUGGUUUUC